rnacentral:tRNA from 3 species
UGCCCAGGUGGCGGAAUUGGUAGACGCACUAUCUUGAGGGGGUAGCGCCGAGAGGCGUUCGGGUUCGAGUCCCGACCUGGGCACCAG